GUUUGAAGCGCCAUGUGAUAGCGGGCCUUUGCCGGGAUUUUGGAAACGAUUCAAAACAGAUGAUGAAGGUAUUAUUCAGAUUAUUUUCAAUCCUCUUUGAAAUAACUGUGCACUGCUAUCGGUCAAAAUAUGAGUUGUUCUAUAAAUACUAAAUAGUUUUUAAUAUGAUAUUGAUACUUUAAUGUUUUAGUUGAUCUCGUUAGUGCGGUAUUCUGUGCGUCAAAAAAGGAAAUUUAUGAUGGUAUUGAAGAUCCCAACUCCUUUUUUCGACCUUCACUUCGAACUUUAUUGGUAAGUAAUUCAGACUUUAUUGGUAAGUAAUUCAGACUAUAUAAUAUUUCUUUCUGAAAAAUCUUUCUUAAGGUACGUUUACACACAACGAUUAAUCGGGCCGUUUCAGCUUUAAUUAAAUGAUAUUUGAAAAAUACGCUGUCAACGUCAUCUGACGACAUCGUCAAUCGACAACAUUCGUCAUUGACAUUUCCAUUUCUAUUUCCCAUUUUGACGCUUGAACAAAUAGUUUUGAUGUUAUUUGAGGCAGUUUUUUCAAAUUUCGAAUAAGUUAAAGUUUGAAUAGAAAGCAAUUGAAUUCUUGAAAUUCACAACGUACGGACUGUGCCUUGAACGUAGGGACUAAAUGCGUUUGUCAACGUGCUUCCCACAACAAUAAAAUUAAAAGUCAUCAACAUUCAAAAAUAAAAAAAACCUGCGUCCAGUAAUAAAUGAAAGGAGCAGUCUCAGGGCGCCCAUGUUUAGUGUCUUGGGAAGACUCAAGAAGAGAACUCUGUUUUCAGUGCGUUACCGUGUCGUGAAAACUGGACAGUCGUGCGUUAUUCUGAUUAACUGGAUGCACUAGUGAUGCAGGGCCGGUUACCAUCAAAUUAUGAGCUGACUCCACGGUGGUAAUAAAUAAAAAAAAACUUUAAAAAAUAGACAGAAUUCAAACUCACUAGCUUUGGCACUAAACCGACAAAAUAUAUCGAUGAAAGAAGUUAAUGUGCAAAUAAUGACGUUAUCUUUCUAUUCACAAUGGUGACGAUACAGAUGACAGUAUUUCUUUUAUUUUUCAAGGUGUACCAUAUUCUCAUUAAUUUGAAUCUUAAAGAAAACACGAAUGUGAAAACUUCGCAAGUUCAUAGAAGUAAUCAAGG